GGGUUAAGUCCGUAACGAGCGCAACCCUUGUCCUUAGUUACCAGCACGUUAUGGUGGGCACUCGUAAGGAGACUGCCGGUGAACGAAACCGGAGGGAAGGGUGGGGAUGACGUCAAGUCAUCAUGGCCCUUACGGCCUGGGCUACACACGUGCUACAAUGGUCGGUACAAAGGGUUGCCAAGCCGCGAGGUGGAGCUAAUCCCAUAAAACCGAAUCGUAGUCCGGAUCGCAGUCUGCAACUCGACUGCGUGAAGUCGGAAUCGCUAGUAAUCGUGAAUCAGAAUGUCACGGUGAAUACGUUCCCGGGCCUU
rnacentral:rRNA from 1 species